AGCUGAGUGGCCGAGGUUGCAGGCAUUGGGCUUUUAACCCAGAUUACGGUCAGGAUUGGCCCUCAGUUA
rnacentral:tRNA from 1 species